AUUUUUUUGUGCUUGUUUUCAACUUAAUUGUUAAGAGGUGUACAAAUUUUGAGUUAAAAUAAAUAGUUCAUUCAUUAGUUAUUGAGAUCUAAAUUUGUUGUAUGAAUUACUUAGAAUUGUUUAUGGUUUGGUUAGGAUUUGUUUAAGAUUUGAUUAGGAUUCAAUUAGGAUUUUAUUAGGAUUUGUUUAUAAUUUGAUUAGGACUUAUUUAAGGUUUGUCUAGGAUUUAUUUAAAAUUUGAUUAGGAUUUGAUUAAGGCUUGACUAGGAUUUGUAUAAGAUUUGGUUAAGAUUUAUUUAGAGUUUGAUUAGGAUUUGACUAGGGCUUGUAUAGGAUUUGUUUAGGAUUUUUUUUUAGAAUUUGAUUAGGAUUCAAUGAGGAUUUUAGUAGGAUUUGUUUAGGAUUUAGUUAGGAUUUGGUUAGGAUUUGAUUAGGAUUUGUCUAGGAUUUUUCUAAGAUUUGGUUAGGAUUUGUUUAGGAUUUGCUUAAGGUUUGAUUAGGAUUUAUUUAGGAUUUGUUUAGAAUUUGGUUAGGGCUUAUUUAGGAUUUGACUAAGUUUUGACUUGAUUUUGACUAGAAUUUAAUUAAUAUUUUUAUUAUAAUCUUUUAUUAAGAUUUCUAUUUUAAUCUAUAUUUUUUUGAAUUUCUAUGUUAUUUUUUUAUGAAUUCUUAAAAGGACCUCUAAGAAUUCUUUGUAUUUCUUGUAUAAUUCCUUUGAAAUUUUAGUUGAAUUUGAUUGAUGUUUGAUUAUAUUUGCUACUCUUU
rnacentral:lncRNA from 1 species